CGCCAUCGCUUCUGUCUACUCCUCUGAGGCUGGUAUAUGGGGCAAUGUCGUUUCAACAGAGGCUCCAUGUCGGAUUUUUUAUGCUGGUACUCCUGCAACCCUUGUUGGUAAUGUCCUAUACUGGUUGUUCGGGCGAGAUCCCACACGUAUGAGUGACAUACUGGUAUUUUAUUUGGAUAGACAGAACCUAGUUGUGAAUGUGGGGCCUACUGUUUCAAAUGAUUUCCUGCAUGGCGACCCUCAGAUCAUCGAGGCCGAGGAUGGGGCUGUUGGCUUCGCCAUGUUGCUUCGUACUCGCUUCCAAAUGUGGCACAGAAAUGUCGGUUGUCAAGGAGUUGCCACAUGUGUGCCUUGGAAGACCUUUGAAAUGCAUAGCUUUCUUGGGCCUUCUAUUCAGAUUGGGGGAGAGUUAAAAUGGCUGCUCGGGUAUGAUGAUGUUAAUGACGUAAUAUUUGUACAAGCCAGCCACGGUGUCUAUGCUGUUCAACUUAAGUCAAUGGAAUCAAAGAUACUUUACCAAGCCUAUAGAAACGGUCACAUUCACCCUUUUACGAGUUUCUGUAUACCAGGAACAUCCAUUGAUGGUAGAUCUAAUGGAGCUAAAAUGCUGCAGAGUACAUAUGAUGAUUGUCUAGUUUGAGGGUCUAAUGUACUGAAAUGGCUUAGCUGGGGAAGAAAGGGCUGCUGCAGUUGUCGGUUGCCACUGAGUUUGUCUCACCGCAUCAAAUUUAGUUUAACACGUUGCGUCAAUGUGGUUGGCAGUGGUUACAUGUUAUCUGAAGUAAAAACUCAUCGUAUCGUAGUCUAGCUUAUAAACUCUAAUGUACCAAGAUGCUUUUGAGUACUGGUUCUCCGAGUAUCAUUUCAAGUUGGAUUUCGUUGUA